rnacentral:rRNA from 1 species
GAUGAACGCUGGCGGCGUGCCUAAUACAUGCAAGUCGAGCGAACAGACGAGGAGCUUGCUCCUCUGACGUUAGCGGCGGACGGGUGAGUAACACGUGGAUAACCUACCUAUAAGACUGGGAUAACUUCGGGAAACCGGAGCUAAUACCGGAUAAUAUAUUGAACCGCAUGGUUCAAUAGUGAAAGACGGUUUUGCUGUCACUUAUAGAUGGAUCCGCGCCGCAUUAGCUAGUUGGUAAGGUAACGGCUUACCAAGGCAACGAUGCGUAGCCGACCUGAGAGGGUGAUCGGCCACACUGGAACUGAGACACGGUCCAGACUCCUACGGGAGGCAGCAGUAGGGAAUCUUCCGCAAAGGGCGAAAGCCUGACGGAGCAACGCCGCGUGAGUGAUGAAGGUCUUCGGAUCGUAAAACUCUGUUAUUAGGGAAGAACAAAUAUGUAAGUAACUAUGCACGUUUUGACGGUACCUAAUCAGAAAGCCACGGCUAACUACGUG